rnacentral:rRNA from 1 species
CUACCUGUGCCUAGUUUUUAGGUCAUAUUGUUCCGACUACGUCGUAUAAAGUUCUAGAUAGAUAACUGAUAAUGACAACUUUCUAUCUAUAUGUCUUGACCAAAUUACGUGCCAGCAGUCGCGGCAAUACGUAGAAGACUAGUGUUAUUCAUCUUUAUUAGGUUUAAAGGGUACCUAGACGGUAAAACUAGCCCCCAAAGGGAACAGCUUUACUAGAGUUUUAUGUGAGAGGUAUAUGUUAGGACUGUUGGUGUAGAGAUGAAAUUCUAUGAUACUAAUGGGACGGAUGGCGGCGAAAGCAAACCUCUAUGUAUAAACUGACGUUGAGGGACGAAGGCUUGGGGAGCAAAUAGGAUUAGAUACCCUAGUAGUCCAGGCAGACAAUUAUGAAUGUUAUAUGCUAGGUUUUUACACUUGGUGUAUAAAUGAAAGUGCAAGCAUUCCACCUCAAGAGUAAUGUGGCAACGCAGGAACUGAAAUCAUUAGACCGUUUCUGAAACCAGUAGUGAAGUAUGUUAUUUAAUUCGAUGAUCCUCGAAAAACCUUACCACAAUUUGAAUAUUAUUUCUUUAAAUAAUACAAGCGUUGCACGGCUGUCUUCAGUUAAUGUCGUGAGAUUUUGGUUAGAUUCAUUAAUUAACGUAAACCCAUACUUUAUUUAUUCUCUAUAAAGUAGUUCACUGCUAUAU